CAGCAGCCGCGGGAAUACGAAGGGUGCAAGCGUUAAUCGGAAUUACUGGGCGUAAAGCGUGCGUAGGCGGUGAGUUAAGUCUGCUGUGAAAUCCCCGGGCUCAACCUGGGAAUGGCAGUGGAUACUGGCUCGCUAGAGUGUGUCAGAGGAUGGUGGAAUUCCCGGUGUAGCGGUGAAAUGCGUAGAGAUCGGGAGGAACAUCUGUGGCGAAGGCGACUAUCUGGGCCAACACUGACACUGAGGCACGAAAGCGUGGGGAGCAAACAGGAUUAGAUACCCCAGUAGUCCCUGUCUCUUAUAC
rnacentral:rRNA from 1 species